GUUUUUUUCUCGAUACCGGGUCACAGGGUAGGCUUCUCAGGUCUGAUUUCCCAGUUAUAGCAGCAUGAAUAGAUAUUGAUGUAGCCUAUUAUCUCGGCAAUAAUGCAUAUUACAACAAGCGAUUAUUUAUUAGUGGUGAAAUGUUUCUCCAGGGCUUCAUUUAGCACGCCUGAAAUGGAAUAACAAAAUCAACUCUGACUUGGUAGCCAUUAUCCAAACUCUAUCCCUUACAUCCCUGCUAGCUUCUAGUAAUCAUUAUUCUGUGUUUAGACUGAGGUUUUCUGUUUUGUUUUGUUUAGGGUUCCAGUAUAUGUGGGAGAACGUGGUUAUUUGUCUUUCUGUGUCUGGCUUAUUUCACAUAACACAAUGUCCUCCACUUCUAUCAAUUUUGCUGCGAAUGACAGGAUUUCAUUGCUUUUUAUGGUUGAAUCCAUUGUGAAUACAUAGCACAUUUUCUUCACACAUGCAUCGGAUGGUAGACCCUGGGUUGAUUCCAUACCUUGACUAUUGUGAACAGUGCUACAGUUAAAAUGGUGGAGCAGGCAUCUCCUUGAUACAGUUAUUUCAUAGCUCUUGGAUAUAUACCCAAUAAUAAUUGAAUUGCUGAAUCAUAUGGCAGUUCUAUUUUUAGUUUUUGAAGCCUUCUCCAUUCUGUUUUCCAUAGUAGCUGUAUUAAUUGAUAGUCCCACCAACAGUUCAUAAGAGUUUCCCUCUCUCCACAUCUUUGCAAUCAUUUGUUACUUUCUUUUUUGUUACAGCCAUACUAAAUUCAACAAGGUGAUAUCUCAAUGCAGUUUUUAUUUGCAUUUUCCCACUAUAUAGUGAUAUUGAGAAUUUUUUAACAUAUCUGUUGCUCAUCUGUAUUUCUUCUUCUGAGAACUGACUAUGGGUCCUUUGCCCAUUUCUUAACUGGAUUGGUUGUUUUUGUUUUUGUUGUUGAGUUUUUUGAGUUCCUGAUAGAUCCUGUGUAUCAAUCCUUUGUUGUAUAGGUAGGUCGCAAAUAUUCUCCCUCAUUCUAUCAGCUGCCUGUUCACUCUGAUGAUUGCUUCCUUUGCUAUGCAGAAGCUUCUGAGUUUGAUAAAAUCUCGUUUGUGUCGUUUUGCUUUUGUUGCCUAUGCUUUUGGGUCUUAUUUUGUAAAAAGUCAUUUCCUACAUAUGCCUUGAAAUGUUUCCCCUAUGCUUUCUUCUGGUAACCUCAUAGUUUCAGAUCUUACAUUUUAGGUGCUUGAUCCGUCUUGAAUUGAUUUUUGAAUGUGGUGAGAGAUGGAUCUAAUUUCAUUCUACUACAUACAUAUAUAUACAUAUAUAAUAUAUAUCCAGUUUCAUAUAUUAUAUAGUAUACAUUAUUAUAUGAUAUAUAAUAUAU
rnacentral:lncRNA from 1 species